CAAAGAUGUAGUGGCGCCUGUCCAACCAAAAAUAUCGGAUAACCGUCCCACGGUUUCCCCUUCCCUUAGACAUGCACCUUGCACCUUUUGGGCAGUUACGCGCAAGAAAAAAAUGACAUGUGAUUCGGUUUGUUUGGCUUAUCAUACAGGCAGGCUCCGUUUUUCAUUUACUUUUGCGGAUUACGUUUUCAGCCAAAACGUUUCGUUUUCGUUUUAAGGUGCUCCAGUUUUCAUCGUUUCUGGCAAACAAAAACAGCUGACCUGGCUGCUUUGUAAAAAUACAGCGUGAUUAAAAUGCCUUUUAUUUUUUCAAUUGCUUGUUUUGAAGCAAAACGAUUGCAGAAAUUACGUGAUCUAAGAAGAUCUAGACAUCUUAGAUGCAACACUUGUGUAUUUAUCAUGUCUGACGAACUAUUUGUGAAGUCAUUUCGGAUCGACAAAAAAACUUUCAAAAUGAUUUUGGAGAAAGUUCAACCCCAUUUAGGUGUUACCAGGAAGUUAUCUCCCUCUACGCAAUUGGCUUCAGUAAUGCGAUAUCUCCCCACUGGCUGCUACCAGUGGGCAGUUGCCAAAGACCACCAUAUAAACAUUGGACGCAGUACAUUUGGAAAGAUUAUUCACAAACUUAUUCCGUUGAUGGACAGGCUGUUAUGUGUUGAGUUCAUUUCGUUGCAGAUGAAUAAUCAUCAAUUGCAACAAUCAUAUGAAUAUUUCUAUCGAAACUUUAAAUUGCCUCGAAUUGGUGCCUGUGUGGAUGGAACUCACAUCAGAAUACUAAAGCCUGUACAAAACCACUCCGUGUUCUAUAAUAGGAAAGGAUUUUAUAGCAUGAAUGCCAAGCAUACUGGAGCACGAAAUAUUAUAGAACGCACCAUUGGAGUCCUUAAAAGCCGUUUCCGUUGCUUGCAACGCACUUUAAAUUACCCACCAAUAUUUUGUUGCCAAAUUAUAAAUGUAUGCUGUGCCCUGCACAAUAUUUGUAGAAGACGUAAUGUCUUAAUCGAGGAGGAUGUUCGAUUUGACGACCCUUUAGACACUGAAAAUGAAUUCGACGACACUGAAAAUAAUGGAUCAUCUAUACGCGAUGAAAUAGCUCAGGCCAUUCCUUAUUAAAAUGCAAAAUUUUUCAUGUUUUCUUCUUUAUGUCAUUCGAUAUUCUUUAUAACUAAUAAAGCUAAGUUUCACAAAAA